CUUUUCAUCAUUCGUCAUCACUAAAGCUGUCAUCUUUUAUGUCAUAUAUCUGUGAUUUUUUAAUGCUAAUUUUGGAAGCGAUCUGGUCACAUAGGCAGAGUCAGGGGCUGUUUAUCACACCGUUCUUGUACGACAAAUGCAAUUAAAAGUGAGUCGAAAAUGCAAUAAGUCAAGCAAAGUUUUGCACGCCACUCGACACUUGGCGCACGACGGCAAAAUAUGUACCCAAAGCACACCAGACACACUUCGAAGUCUUGCAAGAAGCAAAAGGUGAUUAUGAGUAGCAAAGCAGCGGAAGCAGGUUCGAAGCAGAAGCUGACUAAUUUGGCAAAAAACUACUUCAUUAACGGUACAACUGACUAUAACGGCAUGAAGUACACUGAAGAAGUGUUUUAAGUUGAUUUAUGUGACUAUGCGUAUGUAUUGGUGCAACCGAACGGUAUGAGUGCAGCGAGGAAGUGUCUAUGGCUGCCGAGAGAGGAAAGCAUGUGACGCCGAAUUUGGGCCACUCGAUCGCCUUUGACUCACUUAACCUUUUUAUGAACACUAUUUGGCUAAAUGCGAAAUCAAUUAUGAAAGCGGAAGUAAUUAAUGGAGAAAUCGAUGAAGCUUACAACAACAACGCCCAGCAAUCAUAUAUAAUUUAACAUCGAACAAUAUUAAUGCAUAUUAGCUAGAACCUUCACAUAUAUUUUACAAAAUUUCAUCCGAACUAACGAAAAUGGACAAUUUUUGAGCUCAAACUGAAAAGAAAGCUAUUUUAUUUAAGAAAAAUUGCAAAUCCACUUCAAACAAUGUUUGUCCAUAAGACUAUUCAAGUAAAACACAUAAAUAAUAAACACGAUG